GAUGAACGCUGGCGGCGUGCCUAAUACAUGCAAGUCGAGCGAACAGACGAGGAGCUUGCUCCUCUGACGUUAGCGGCGGACGGGUGAGUAACACGUGGAUAACCUACCUAUAAGACUGGGAUAACUUCGGGAAACCGGAGCUAAUACCGGAUAAUAUAUUGAACCGCAUGGUUCAAUAGUGAAAUACGGUUUUGCUGUCACUUAUAGAUGGAUCCGCGCCGCAUUAGCUAGUUGGUAAGGUAACGGCUUACCAAGGCGACGAUGCGUAGCCGACCUGAGAGGGUGAUCGGCCACACUGGAACUGAGACACGGUCCAGACUCCUACGGGAGGCAGCAGUAGGGAAUCUUCCGCAAUGGGCGAAAGCCUGACGGAGCAACGCCGCGUGAGUGAUGAAGGUCUUCGGAUCGUAAAACUCUGUUAUUAGGGAAGAACAAAUGUGUAAGUAACUAUGCACGUCUUGACGGUACCUAAUCAGAAAGCCACGGCUAACUACGUG
rnacentral:rRNA from 1 species